AACGCACAUUGCGCCCGCCAGUAUUCUGGCGGGCAUGCCUGUCCGAGCGUCAUUUCAACCCUCAGGGCCCGUCCGCGGGACCUGGUGUUGGGGAUCGGCCGCCCCCCGCGGCGGCCGGCCCCGAAAUACAGUGGCGGCUCCACCGCGCGAACUCCUCUGCGUAGUACAACACGUCGCAGCUGGGCUCGCGGUGGCGGCCUCGCCGUAAAACCCCCCAACUUCUCCAUGGUUGACCUCGGAUCAGGUAGGAAUACCCGCUGAACUUAA
rnacentral:misc_RNA from 1 species